rnacentral:rRNA from 1 species
UACGGGGGGGGCAAGCGUUUGUUCGGAAUUACUGGGCGUAAAGGGCUCGUAGGCGGCCAACUAAGUCGGACGUGAAAUCCCCAGGCUACACGUGGAACUGCGUCCGAUACUGGAUGGCUUGAAUCCGGGAGAGGGAUGCAGAAUUCCAGGUGUAGCGGUGAAAUGCGUAGAUAUCUGGAGGAAUACCGGUGGCGAAGGCGGCAUCCUGGACCGGCAUUGACGCUGAGGAGCGAAAGCCAGGGAGGGCAAACAGGG